GAGACACCCUUGGAAGUGAAGAGACACACUUGGAGUGGAGACUCACAUUAGGAGUGGAAGCUCCUAUAAGAAGCAGUUCUACUGGAGUUUAGGCUGAUAAAGAAUCUGCUGAUUGAACUGACAUGUGAAUGACAUUGAUGUUUGCCCUACCCAGUUCCUUUAUUACAUAAAGUGGAAAUAUCACUAAGUCAUGCAUUUUCCAGAAGUAGGAUCCCCAAGAAUCCAUGUGACCUGACACCAGAAAGAAGCCUUUGUGAAUACUCCCAGGACUGUGGCCUCAAUGUCUAGCCCCUUCUUAACACUGAAAUCACUGACUCAGAUUUAAGGCACUAGUAUAAAAGACACCAAGAAGUACAGAAGAAGCUUGUGUACAAGGAGGGAAAGAUAGUCUGCUCUUUGGUCUCAGUGUCUGAGACCCCAAGUGCAAGUUCAAACUCUGAUACUUCUACUAAAUGGCAAAAUCGUAAUUGCACGAACUACCACACAGGUAAGAGGAAUCCAGAUGAACUUACAUCCUGCCUGGUCCAUUUAGUCAGUACACUCCAUCACAGCUGGAGCAGCGCCAGGCUACACACUCCAUCACAGCUGGAGCAGCACUGGGCUGCACACUCCAUCACAGCUGGAACAUAGCUAGUGACCAGAGGACAUGAUUUUCUGACAAAAGCCUGAGUCUGGAAAUCCCUGGACUUCACAGAUGUGAUUCCCAGCUGCACUGACUCAGCCCUUCACUCUUCUGAGGAAGUCAAUUUAACUUCUCCACCAUGUUUAACUCUAGAAGCCUCAUGGAGACAAGAGUCUGCUUGGCAUGGACCAAUAAACACUACUCUAAAUUUACCA
rnacentral:lncRNA from 1 species